UACUGGUCACUGAGGGUUUAUUUUUACAUUUCAGAAAGGUUUAUUUGUAAUUUUUACAGUUUUAUUCUCACUUUAACAGGUGAAAAUAAACAAGUGAGAUCUUCGUUUUUCAUUGAGUUUCAUAAUAAUUCUGCACACUGUUCGUAACUUAAUAAUGGAGUAAAUGUAGUUCUAUUUUUAAGAAAGCCAACACUUCACUUUUAUGUUUGAGGGAUUAUUUACAUUUUGGAUUGACUGAGUGCACUGUAGUAUUAUAAUGGGUGACACCUGUAGGGUGUGGCUCUUCCAUUAAGGCCCCUUUAAAUAGGAGUGGGCGGGGCUGCCCAGCAGUGCCAGAUUCUUGUGGGUGGCCAGGUUGACUGCUGGGCCCACGCUGUUUGUGCAGCAGCUGUGAGCCACUGGGGUAAAUUUGUUUUUUUGUUAACCAUAUUUGUUUUUUAUUAUUGUUUUUUAAAUAUUUUGAAUGUAUGUAUUUUAUGACAGGGCUGCAGUAUCUGAAGGUAGACCUACAGGGUAAAUGACUGAGUGUGGGUCCUCGAUACCACAGUCAUCAUACCGCUACCUGCUGUCCUUCUUAUAUUGUGUUUUUAGUAUUUUUACUCCAGUUAGUCUGCAAGACGCAGACUAACUGCUUUUACAUUUUUUUAUUAUUUUUAUUUGUGGUCACUUCCGGGUCUGUAAUUUCUGUUUGCCAGCCGAUUAGUUUUUAGCAUGUGCAUGUGUGUAUUGUCUGUCAUUUUAUAAGUUUUUACCUUUUUAUCCUUUUAAACUGUUUGCAGUGCUCGCAGCAAGUUGCUGCCUUAAAUGCAUGUUUUAUCUCGGCUCAGGACAACAGUUGAACAUUUUAAAGACCAGGAGUGCUGUAACAAUAAAUAUUGUCAAUUUAUUUGAACA